CUGGAGACAAAGGAGGCCCGGAGGCUCUUGAGCCGAGGACAGACGAGGCCGCGGCAGAAUUGUAGGAGGACAAACCUGGAGGCUCAUCCCUUCCAACUUCGGCCUCAUCUCUUCUUUGACGUUGUUCUGGAAGGAGUCGAGAUGGCUGCCUUGCACACCACGGGGCUCCAAGCGACCUUGUAGCUCAACAGUUUCCAUCGGCAGUGGGCGCCUUGUAGCUGGAUGAUUCAGACCACAGAGAACCUCGAGAUAGGGGACCGGGCCACAUCGCCGGGCCACUGAAGGAUUAUUGUUUAGGUACCACCUGCUCUCCAAGCCGCAUGCCGUAAGGAAUGCACCUGCCCAGAGCAGGCUCCGUUCACUCCCUUGUAACAAGGUUCUUCUUGGACCACCUACAUGGCCCUCCUGCCCUCGGCAUCCUCAAGUUCCCAGCCCAAUCUCCCACCAUCACCACUGACAUGUUUUACUAGUUCCUUGUAAAGUUGCUUUCUCUGUCGGAA